rnacentral:rRNA from 1 species
GACGAACGCUGGCGGCGUGCUUAACACAUGCAAGUCGAACGGAAAGGCCCUGCUUUUGUGGGGUGCUCGAGUGGCGAACGGGUGAGUAACACGUGAGUAACCUGCCCUUGACUUUGGGAUAACUUCAGGAAACUGGGGCUAAUACCGGAUAGGAGCUCCUGCUGCAUGGUGGGGGUUGGAAAGUUUCGGCGGUUGGGGAUGGACGCGCGGCUUAUCAGCUUGUUGGUGGGGUAGUGGCUUACCAAGGCUUUGACGGGUAGCCGGCCUGAGAGGGUGACCGGCCACAUUGGGACUGAGAUACGGCCCAGAGUCCUACGGGAGGCAGCAGUGGGGAAUAUUGCACAAUGGGCGGAAGCCUGAUGCAGCAACGCCGCGUGCGGGAUGACGGCCUUCGGGUUGUAAACCGCUUUCGCCUGUGACGAAGCGUGAGUGACGGUAAUGGGUAAAGAAGCACCGGCUAACUACGUG